UGAAGCCUCUGACUAAGCUAAUUGAGGACACUUCAUUAUUUUGGGGAUAGACUAAAAAAACGGAGGAAAAAGAAAAAAAGAAGAAGAAGAGAGGAGACGGGGAGAGGAAGGGACGGAGUGGAGAAAGGAUAGAAUUUGGGGAAAAAAAAAUAAAUAUUUGAGCUUAUGUUGUUAGCACCAAGGUUGAAAAUUAGGAAACGGAUACGAGGUUUUGUUAGAUUCUUGUCAUACAGUCUUGUCCUGGAUCUGAAAUCAAAGUGGACAUAUUGGAACCUUCGGGUCAAAUCAUAGUGGGACCUACGAGUCAAUCAUACUGGGACCUUCGGGUCAAAUCAUAGUGGGACCUAUGGGUCAAUCAUAUUGGGACCUUCGGGUCAAUCAUAUUGGGACCAUCGGGUCAAAUCACAGUGGGACCUACGGGUCAAUCAUAUUGGCAUAUUGGAAAUCCCGGGCAGAUACCAGGCUUGAUUUGUCACAAAAUAAUAAAUUGAGCAUAGAGGCUUAUACAUAUGGAUCUGAAAUUGUUUAUGUGGAUAUUUGUAAAUAUAGUUUUUGGCUGGUGAAAUAAUUAAUAUGUGAUUUCUUUACAUUAA